GACGAACGCUGGCGGCGUGCUUAACACAUGCAAGUCGAACGGAAAGGCCCCCACUUUUUUGGGGGGGGGGCUCGAGUGGGGAACGGGUGAGUAACACGUAGGUGAUCUGGCCUGUACUUCGGGAUCAGGUAGGGAGAGUGGGUCCAAGACCGGAUAGGAUGCUGGAUUAGGGGGUCAGGGUGGAAAAAUUAGUGGUUUGGGGCAGGACGGGCUCGCGGCCUAUUGGCUUGGUGGUGGGGUAAUGGGCUACCAAGGCGUCGGCGGGUAGCCGGCCUGAGAGGUUGCACGGCUACGGUGGGACUGGGCUACGGCCCGGCCUCCUACGGGCGGCAGCUGUGACGAAUGGUGCCAGAUGGGCGCAAGCCUGAUGCAGCGGCGCCGCGUGGGGGAUGACCGCCUUCGGGUUGGAAACUCCUCUCGUUAGGGACGAAGCCGCACCUUGUUGGGGUGUGGUUACGGUUCCUUUGUAAAGAAGCACCGGCUAACUACGUG
rnacentral:rRNA from 1 species